AGUCGUAACAAGGUUUCCGUAGGUGAACCUGCGGAAGGAUCAUUAACAAAUCAAAUAUUCACUUGUUGAACUGUUGCAUCAUGACGAUGGUUAUGAUGAUGCUUUGAUUGCCUGCUACUCGCUAUCCUUUCCCCUGUCAUCUUUGGCGUGGGGUGAUGUGAGAGGGGUAGCAACAAUCAAUAGUCACACAUCUUUCAUCUCAUGUUCUUAACUCUUUACCAUUCUUGACUAAACAAUCAUCAUCGUAUAACGAGUAGUUUAAUACUAAACAACUUUUAACAAUGGAUCUCUUGGCUCCAA
rnacentral:misc_RNA from 1 species